GCCAGCAUGGCAUAGUGGUUUGGGUGCUAGACUACAACUCUGAAGACCAGGGUUCGAUUCCCCACUUGGCC